rnacentral:misc_RNA from 1 species
GGAACAGAGACUCUCUCUCUCUCUUUAAUCUCUAUUCCUUUCCUAUUUCUACUCUUAAACAAGCAUCUAAUCCUUCAUCUGAUCUAUUGUAUAACAAUAUUCAAACAUCUCUUUAGAAAUUGCCAAAAAAUCCCAAUACUUGUAUAGGAGCCUCAGGUUUUUUGAUUUCUUAAACUUUCUCUUGUGAUUUUGUUAUCGAUUGUCAAGUGCGUUAUUAUUUCAGCAUAUGCAAUGAAUCCAAGUCAAAAUUUUCCCUUUUUUUUCUUUCUUCUUUUCUUCCGGUAGUCUUUGAUUUAUUGAUUGAUCGAUCUUGAGUGAAUUUGAGCCCUUGAAACAAGAAUUUCUACUCUUUUAUGCAAAACUCUGUUUUGGGUUUCGUUUAAUUUCAGUUAUUUGUUGUCAAGAUUGAAUAUAAUUGCAAAUAGUAUAAUUGGGAACUCCAGUGUUAGCAUUUCCUCCAUCUCUUUAGUUGGCAUAGGGUUCAUUCUUAAUCUGUAAGAUGCUUUUUUAUUGCAAAUAUGGUUUCUUGUUCAUUGCUCAAGGCUUUCAUGUCUCUAAAAUAGUUUUCUUUUUCUUUUUCUUUGUCUGGCUUUUACCCUCUAUUGAUGAAGAUACAAUUUAUAGUAUAAAUUAAUUGCUGGUGUGUUUAAAUUGUCUCUGUUUUGAGAUUUUGAGAUCUAAUACUACUGUUGAGAAAUUAUUUGUUUACUAAUUAACAUUUUAUAUGUUAAGGUACCAUAAUGAAAUUUUCUUGAGGAUCCCAUCUUUUCCUCCUCUGGUUUUUGGAUUUCCAGCCAAGUCAUUUUUUGAUGUGUGCAAUCUUUCAUUUAAGACAAAAUGUUUGGAUUUAUGAAAUCACCAGCAAAUAAAGGAACUAAGCAAAAUUCAGUAGAUUCAGAUGAUGAAUCCAAUGCCAAGCAAACACGUCAGCCUGGAAAACGAGCUGCUUCUGAACCUGUGCUCAAUAUUCCAAAUGUCCCUUUUGAUGUUAAGGGAAACCCAGACAAAUAUAAGAAUGACUUCCGUGAUUCAGGAGGACUAGAGAACCAAAGUGUUCAAGAGCUGGAGAAUUAUGCCAAGUACAAGGCCGAGGAGACAACAGAGAGUGUUAAUAAUUGCCUUAGAAUUGCAGAAGACAUCAGACAAGAUGCUACAAGAACUCUUGAUAUGCUGCAUGCUCAGGGUGAGCAAAUGACGAGGACCCACCAGAUGGCUGUGGAUAUUGAUAAGGAUCUGAGUAAGGGUGAAAAGCUGUUAAAUAAUCUUGGGGGCAUCUUCUCGAAGCCUUGGAGACCUAAGAAGACUAGGCAAAUAACAGGGCCUUUGAUCACUGCAGAUAAUCCAUCCAAAACAAGUGAGAACCACAAAGAACAAGGAGAAAAGCUGGGUUUAGGAGGUA